UACAGAGGGUGCAAGCGUUGUUCGGAAUUAUUGGUCGUAAAGCGCGUGUAGGCGGCUUUGCAAGUCGGGUGUGAAAGCCCUCAGCUCAACUGAGGAAGUGCGCCCGAAACUGCAGAGCUUGAGUGCCGGAGAGGGUGGCGGAAUUCCCCAAGUAGAGGUGAAAUUCGUAGAUAUGGGGAGGAACACCGGUGGCGAAGGCGGCCACCUGGACGGUAACUGACGCUGAGACGCGAAAGCGUGGGGAGCAAACAGG
rnacentral:rRNA from 1 species